UGGUUGUCUGCCUCGAGCAUAUCGCGCGCACACCGCGAGCGUGACGCCAGGCGACUCGCCCAUCCUCGGCCCCGUUCGCCGCUCUCCGCGAAAAAAAGAGAGCAACCUCCAGCACAUCGAAUAAAACUUGCCAGACGACCAGCAGAAUAACAGGACCGGUAAUGUGGCAAUGGUUGACUAUGGAGGCGAGCCACCCAUUCAUAAACAGUUAAUUUACGACCGGACUGUCACAAGCUACUGCGACUCCUCGUUGAGAUGUCGGCCUCGGGAAAAGAAUGACAACAAUGAUCGACAAAAACGACCUCCUCGCUGCCUUCCACGAUGAGAUGAGAUGUGACAGUUAAAAGUCCACCGUGCGGUCGGAGGAGCUGGUGAAGGGGAGGGUGCAGACGUUGUCGCCAGAACGUGGUCGCCAUGCAAAGAAA
rnacentral:lncRNA from 1 species